GCAUCAUUUCCCCGGUACCCCCCAGCUGAGAUUUAACGGUGGGAAGGAAUCCUCUCUGCCGCCCCCCAGUGUACAGCCUGCAGAACGGGCCAGUGGAUGAUCUAAACGAUGAACCUUAUUCUAUCAAGAUAUCUUAUCUUUCAGCACGAAAGACACUGUCAAUAUUCCAGCUACAUUUUACCCAACCUCAAGGGAGCUUAGAGGAGGACGGCCGUGAGUUUCCGCUACCUGAGACCUGGAUGAUCACGGCACGUGACACCGAUGCGACGUGUCCUGGUACAAGUGAAAGGU